GGUCACUUGAACUUCUCCAGCUUAGCACAGUUGCCUUGCAGCUCCAUUGUGAAGACAAAACCCUGCUAUGGCAUUGUAGUGGUGAGUGUCAAUCCGAACCUUUUCUAAGGUUUAUUUCUGUAAAUCAUGGCAUGAGCAAGAUUGGCAUAAUUUGUGCUAUGGACAGACCUUGGACCAUCUCUCUGGACACCCUGGAUCCAAUCAGGGCCAGGUAGAGGGUCAUCCAUUCAGGAGGGAGUGGAGAGGAGAGGAGAAAGAGAGAACCCGACUAUGUAACUUUUAAAUGGGGAUUGGAUUUGGUUUGGAAAGGGCUUGGCCAAGGAAUUCGCUGGAUGGUUAGUGUUGGAUUGUGGGUGAACAUAUCAGACGACACAGCGAUUCUUCAAACAGCUCUUGUUUAUUCACAGGCCAGAAACAGAACUGAACUGAAGGGUUCAGCCAGCCUGCUUAUAUAGAGCUCCACUAGAACGCAACAGUAACCACUUUCUGUAACUAUCCAAUCACUGAACGUCCCUUUCAAUCCCUUAUUUGCAUAUGUGGACCUGAGUGAAAACUAUCUACAGUAUCCCCCUGCUGGCCCAGGGUGAGAACUUCAGUACAUAACACCUAGGGCUUGCUAGGCAGGGGAAACCAGAUUGCUUCCCUCAAAGGAAAAUAUCCUAGAAAGGGGCUGGAAGUGUUCUCCUGAAUCCAAAGCUAUUCCAGAAGGAAUCCGUUUAAUUAGGAAAACUCAUAAAGUUCUUCAUCACUUCCGUAAAAGUGAUUCUGACUGAGAAGAAGCCUUGUGCCUAAUCGGAGUACAAUCAUAUCUCGUGUUGCGUUCGCUUCAUGUUGCGUCUUUUCACGUUACAUCCUGCGGCAACCCGGAAGUACUGGACUGGGUUACUUCCGGGUUUCAUUGCUCGGGCCUGCGCAGAAAUGCUAAACUGCGCUUCACGCCUGCGCAGAAGCGCCGCCACUCGUCUGCGCAGACGCAGCGCUUCGCGUUGUGGGCAUUUCACGUUACAGACUGGCCUCCGGAACAGAUCCCGUCCGUAACACGAGGUACCACUGUAAUCGGAAUAAUCAUUAUGUUUUAGUCCCCAUUGAGUGUGUAAAAUACAAUUCCAGUUUUGUUUACCAUGUGCCUCAUCCUGCUCUCCCUUGGUCACAGGUUUCCCUUGCUGCUGGAUAUCAACCUAUCAAGUGAUACUGACAAGGAGUUUCUAAGUUUUGAAGUUACCUCACUCCCAUGUUUAUUGAGGGAGCUUGCCACAACUCAACAUAAAAUAUACCUCAUUGUGACCUAGGGGUGUAUGGGAUGUUAGGAAUAGGGCAGUACCUCUGGUGGGGAACACGUUGUUCUCCUUCUGAAGUAAUUUGUACGCCUCUGGUCCCCACCCUGCACUCAGCCCUCACUCGUGGCUCCUAGCAGCUGUCAGUAGAUGACCUAAUAUGAGUGUUGCUGGCACUGGGCAAUUGGGACAGAUUAGGGCAUGGGUAGGCAAACUAAGGCCCAUGUGCCGGAUCCGGCCCAAUUGCCUUCUCAAUCCGGCUUGCAGACGGUCCGGGAAUCAGCGUGUUUUUACAUGAGUAGGAUGUGUCCUUUUAUUUAAAAUGCAUCUCUGGAUUAUUUGUGGGGCAUAAGAAGUUGUUCAAUUUUUUUCUUUCAAAAUAUAGUCCAGCCCCCCACAAGGUCUGAGAGACAGUGGACCGGCCCCCUGCUGAAAAGCUUUGCUGACCCCUGGAUUAGGGAUUCUGCUGGUUUACCGCCCACCUCGAUGGCCAGCAGUCUCCCUGCCUGAGCUGGCCAAGCUGGUCUCAGAGGCUGCUGGUUCUGUGAGACUUCAACAUCCACACUGAGGCAACUGACUCUGGGCUGGCUCAGGAUUUCAUGGCUGCCAUGACAACCAUGGGGCUGCCUCAACAUGUCACGGGCCCAAUGCAUGUGGCAGGCCACACCCCGGACCUUGCUUUCUCCACUGGACAGGAAGAGGGUGUUUUGAAAGUGGGGGAUAUUGACACCACUCCCUUGUUGUGGUCAGAUCACUUCCUAUUGAUAUUUAGGCUUUUAGUACCUUUUCUCUGCUGCAGAGGUGGGGGGCCUAUUAAGAUGGCCUUCCUUUGGAGGCCGAUGGAUCCAAUGGGUUUUCAGACAGCUCUGGGAGAUUUUCUGGCUGAUAUGACUGGCGCUGUUUUGGUGGGGGAGAAGUAUUGGCUUAUUUGCCCAGGUAUGUGGUGCUGUGGGUUAAACCACAGAGCCUAGGGCUUGACAAUCAGAAGGUUGACUGUUCGAAUCCUCACGACAGGGUGAGCUCCCGUUGCUCGGUCCCUGCUCCUGCCAACCUAGCAGUUUGAAAGCACAUCAAAGUGCAAAUAGAUAAAUAGGUACCGCUCUGGCAGGAAGGUAAACGGCGUUUCCAUGUGCUGCUCUGGUUCACCAGAAGCGACUUAGUCCUGCUGGCCACAUGAUCCGGAAGCUGUCUGCGGACAAACGCCGGCUCCCUCAGCCAAUAAAGCAAGAUGAGCGCCGCAACCCCAGAGUCGGUCACGACUGGACCUAAUGGUCAGGGGUCCCUUUACCUUUUUAUGUCACAACCCAAAGGCUGUAUUAUAGGAGACUGCUGUCUUUGGAAGAGUAUUUACCUUCUGAGGUGUGUGACUGGUUAACCCCUUCGUCCUACCCAUUCUGUCAAUUUCUGCACCACUGCAACAUACUCUGGAAUUCACAUCAAUGUGUAAGCGAGGAUUUCCAGCAUAAGCCACUGACCUUCCUGGUUUCCCAGUUCAGUGUCUGGAGACUGAAAAAGGGCAUGUUUGCAAGCAUAAAGUUGGAAAAAAAUAUCCAAUCUUCCCAUCAAGCUUAAUCCAACACCUGGAAGAUGCCGUUCAAAACCCAUAAAUCAAAUUCAGUAUACUCCUUUGUUUCUGGAAACAACACACCUGUAGAACAGAUAUCACUUUAUACUGAUUCACAGUUACAAGAUCUAAUUAAAUAGCUUGCCACAAAACAGCAUGUGGAUCAUCUUGGAGAUCCUGAAAUCCUAAAUAAUAAUACAGUGGUACCUGCUUUCCUAAUCAACUGCUUUCCUAGCAGCCUUGGUUCAGUUUACAGUGGUACCUCGGGUUACAUACGCCUCAGGUUACAUACGCCUCAGGUUACAGACUCCGUUAACCCAGAAAUAGUGCUUCAGGUUAAGAACUUUGCUUCAGGAUGAGAACAGAAAUCAUGCUCCGGCAGCAGCAGGAGGCCCCAUUAGCUAAAGUGGUGCUUCAGGUUAAGAACAGUUUCAGGUUAAGUAUGAAUUAAGUACUUAACCCGAGGUACCACUGUAAUUUCUCCAACAGUGAAUAGAAAUACUUUUGAAUGUUUUUUCAGAGUCCGUGAAGAAGAAGGAUGGUUCAGUUUUAUAACAAUUUUCAUUGAUUAAACUCUGCACUCUUCUGGAAUCAUCUGAUAUUAAAUGGCCCAUAAUAAAACUGGUCUCAGUAGAUAUAUAGAUAGAUAUAAUUCUAUUUAAUCUCCAUGUGGCAUGACAUUUAUGAUCAUGAUUUAACAAGGAUGCUGAUCUGUAACAAUAUUUUCUUUUCUUAUACAGUGGUACCUCAGUUUACGAACUUAAUCUGUUCCAGAAGUCCAUUCUUAAACCGAAACAAUUCUUAAACUGAGGCGCGCUUCGCCUAAUGAGGCCUCCCGCCGCCGGUGCCCUUCCACCGUUCGGAUUCCGUUCUUAGACCGAGGUAAAGUUCGCAAACCAGGACCCUACUGGUUUUGCAGAGUUCGUAAACCAAAUUGUUCGUAAACAGGACUGUUCUUAAACCGAGGUACCACUGUAAAUUUGUGUUAUUUUUGCACUUUUCCAAGAUUUUCCAAGAAUCUACAUUAUCUAAAUAAGCUGUUUAAUGAGCCCAUCAAUGUAUCUUAGAAAGCUUUUUAAAAAAAAUCUGCAGCUAAUCCACCCAGACCAGGUGUUUUAUUAUUUUGGGGGUGAUCAGGGAAGUUUUUAAUGUGUGAUAUUUUACUGUAUUUUUGGUUUAUAUGGAAGCCGCCCAGAGUGGCUGGGGAGGCCCAGCCAGAUGGGUGGGGUAUAAAUAAUAAAUUAUUAUUAUUAUUAUUAUUAUUAUUAUUAUUAUUAUCUCAUUGUGUCCUGUAUUUCUUUAGUGCUGAAGUCUAGUCUGCCAUCUUCUUCCACUGGAAGUCCUAAAUGAUGGAGUUCUUACAGAUGCAGGACAGGUCUGAAGAGGUACCUAUAGCAGUGCCGAUUCCAACCAAAGCAGCCAGGUGGGCACAUGUGUACAUCAUUCAGAGAAUACUUAUAAAGUUUAACCACAGCAACAGGAAACAGCCACAGACUUUACUCUAAUUCAUGCUGUCUGGAGGUACCUGUGAAUGAAAAUGGAUGCAAAGCAAACGGAUACAAGGAGGACAAUGUGAUUUUUCUUCAGUUGAAAGCAUUUUGAACAAAGGUGCGGUUUAUAGCGUCGGAAGUGGUACCUGGAGCCCUAGGAAUAUCGCAAGGGAUUGGACAAGUCUAUGAUUCUUGGUUCUAUGAAUAGGACUGCUUUUAGUGAGCUCAGCUAUCCCUGACUCUACGGUGAUUAGUGUCUCUAAACAUCAAUUGCUAUGUAGCUUAAUAAUUUCAGAUCAGUAAACUGUGGCUCCAUGUUAAGAUAAGAGCUCAAAGCCAAUUGGCUACCCUUCUGGAUUUGCAGGCUUUUGUGGAGGUGAUCCACUUGUGUUCUUUCCCCCCUCUUUUUGGUGCUGUUCAUUCAAGUUAACUUUAUGAUGAAGUGACCCUUAACCCUCAGGGAUUGCAGAAGGAUUCAACAGGUGUUCAGCGUGGAAUGCGAGAGCUGAACAAGCUCCCAUCUGUUGCACACUGAAGUUCAAGGAAAUUGGUUCCAAAUGUGCUUUGGCGGUCCAAGCUUUUGUAUUCAUCCGUCUUGCAUGUAUCGUUUCUGCAUCAGUAAAAUGCCAUUUGCUAUCUCCACAAAGUUAGCAUCUGGGGAGAAAAGCCAGCCUAAGAAAAUGAUCUCAUUUUUUUCCUGAACUAUCAGGAUAUGGUCUAUCUAAGCUAUCUGGUUGCCACACCUCAAAAAGGAUAUUGUAGAGUUGGAAAAGGGCAAGCUGAAUGAUCAACUAUGAAACUAGGUUGCAGCAUUUGGGACAGUUU